rnacentral:rRNA from 1 species
AAAAAGCUCGUAGUCGGAUGUUGGCUGAGAACGGUCGGUCCGCCGUUAGGUGUGCACUGACUGGUCUCAGCUUCCUGGUGAGGAGGUGUGCUUCAUCGCCACUUAGUCACCGUGGUUACUUUGAAAAAAUUAGAGUGUUCAGAGCGGGCUUACGCUUGAAUAUAUUAGCAUGGAAUAACACCAUAGGACUCCUGUCCUAUUUCGUUGGUCUCGGGACGGGAGUAAUGAUUAAGAGGAACAGUUGGGGGCAUUCGUAUUUCAUUGUCAGAGGUGAAAUUCUUGGAUUUAUGAAAGACGAACUUCUGCGAAAGCAUUUGCCAAGGAUGUUUUCAUUGAUCAAGAACGAAAGUUGGGGGCUCGAAGAUGAUUAGAUACCAUCCUAGUCUCAACCAUAAACGAUGCCGACUAGGGAUUGGCGGAUGUUAAUUGAUGACUUCGCCAGCACCUUAUGAGAAAUCAAAGUUUUUGGGUUCCGGGGGGAGUAUGGUCGCAAGGCUGAAACUUAAAGGAAUUGACGGAAGGGCACCACCAGGCGUGGAGCCUGCGGCUUAAUUUGACUCAACACGGGGAAACUUACCAGGUCCAGACAUAGUAAGGAUUGACAGAUUGAGAGCUCUU